GACGAACGCUGGCGGCGUGCCUAAUACAUGCAAGUAGAACGCUGAAGGAGGAGCUUGCUCUUCUGGAUGAGUUGCGAACGGGUGAGUAACGCGUAGGUAACCUGCCUGGUAGCGGGGGAUAACUAUUGGAAACGAUAGCUAAUACCGCAUAACAGUAGAUGUUGCAUGACAUUUACUUAAAAGGUGCAAUUGCAUCACUACCAGAUGGACCUGCGUUGUAUUAGCUAGUUGGUGGGGUAACGGCUCACCAGGGCGACGAUACAUAGCCGACCUGAGAGGGUGAUCGGCCACACUGGGACUGAGACACGGCCCAGACUCCUACGGGAGGCAGCAGUAGGGAAUCUUCGGCAAUGGACGGAAGUCUGACCGAGCAACGCCGCGUGAGUGAAGAAGGUUUUCGGAUCGUAAAGCUCUGUUGUAAGAGAAGAACGAGUGUGAGAGUGGAAAGUUCACACUGUGACGGUAUCUUACCAGAAAGGGACGGCUAACUACGUG
rnacentral:rRNA from 1 species